rnacentral:rRNA from 1 species
AACGAACGCUGGCGGCAUGCCUAACACAUGCAAGUCGAACGAGACCUUCGGGUCUAGUGGCGCACGGGUGCGUAACGCGUGGGAAUCUGCCCUUGGGUUCGGAACAACAGUUGGAAACGACUGCUAAUACCGGAUGAUGACUUCGGUCCAAAGAUUUAUCGCCCAAGGAUGAGCCCGCGUAGGAUUAGCUUGUUGGUGAGGUAAAAGCUCACCAAGGCGACGAUCCUUAGCUGGUCUGAGAGGAUGAUCAGCCACUCUGGGACUGAGACACGGCCCAGGCUCCUACGGGAGGCAGCAGUUGGGAAUAUUGGACAAUGGGCGAAAGCCUGAUCCAGCAAUGCCGCGUGAGGGAUGAAGGUCUUAGGGUUGUAAAGCUCUUUUACCCGGGCUGAUAAUGACAGUACCGGGAGAAUAAGCCCCGGCUAACUCCGUGCCAGCCGCCGCCGUAA